rnacentral:rRNA from 1 species
CGAGUUUGAUCCUGGCUCAGAACGAACGCUGGCGGCAUGCCUAACACAUGCAAGUCGAACGCUGCACCGGGGCUUGCCUUGGUGUGGAGUGGCGCACGGGUGAGUAGCGCGUGGGAACCUGUCCUGUUGUGGGGGAUAACCGAGGGAAACUUCGGCUAAUACCGCAUGCGCCCCUGGGGGAGACCCUGGGGGGAAAGAUUUAUCGCAGCAGGAGGGGCCCGCGUCGGAUUAGCUAGUUGGUGAGGUAAAGGCUCACCAAGGCGACGAUCCGUAGCUGGUCUGAGAGGACGAUCAGCCACACUGGGACUGAGACACGGCCCAGACUCCUACGGGAGGCAGCAGUAGGGAAUCUUGCGCAAUGGGCGAAAGCCUGACGCAGCGACGCCGCGUGAGGGAAGAAGGCCUUCGGGUUGUAAACCUCUUUCAGGAGGGACGAAGCCACUCGGGUUAAUAGCCCAGAGGGUGACGGUACCUCCAGAAGAAGCCCCGGCUAACUACGUGCCAGCAGCCGCGGUAAUAAGU